CGAGCGAGCUUGCCUAGAUGAUUUUAGUGCUUGCACUAAAUGAAACUAGAUACAAGCGAGCGGCGGACGGGUGAGUAACACGUGGGUAACCUGCCCAAGAGACUGGGAUAACACCUGGAAACAGAUGCUAAUACCGGAUAACAACACUAGACGCAUGUCUAGAGUUUGAAAGAUGGUUCUGCUAUCACUCUUGGAUGGACCUGCGGUGCAUUAGCUAGUUGGUAAGGUAACGGCUUACCAAGGCAAUGAUGCAUAGCCGAGUUGAGAGACUGAUCGGCCACAUUGGGACUGAGACACGGCCCAAACUCCUACGGGAGGCAGCAGUAGGGAAUCUUCCACAAUGGACGAAAGUCUGAUGGAGCAACGCCGCGUGAGUGAAGAAGGGUUUCGGCUCGUAAAGCUCUGUUGGUAGUGAAGAAAGAUAGAGGUAGUAACUGGCCUUUAUUUGACGGUAAUUACUUAGAAAGUCACGGCUAACUACGUGCCAGCAGCCGCGGUAAUACGUAGGUGGCAAGCGUUGUCCGGAUUUAUUGGGCGUAAAGCGAGUGCAGGCGGUUCAAUAAGUCUGAUGUGAAAGCCUUCGGCUCAACCGGAGAAUUGCAUCAGAAACUGUUGAACUUGAGUGCAGAAGAGGAGAGUGGAACUCCAUGUGUAGCGGUGGAAUGCGUAGAUAUAUGGAAGAACACCAGUGGCGAAGGCGGCUCUCUGGUCUG
rnacentral:rRNA from 1 species